UUGGUCUUGUGUUCUUCCCCUUGUCGUUCCUUGCAGCAACCCCUUCGUUCCCGCGUGACGAGCUGUGCGUCUCGUCUCCCCAUCUUCCCUCUGCUUCUCUGACUGCCUCUUGGAUCUCAACCUCCCGCCUGAACACGGACCUUCGACGCCUCGCUUCCUGCCUGCUCACAGAUCUACGAGCAUGUCUUUCCCCUCCGGGACUUCCGCCUCUCGCUCAACACUGCCGCCUCCACUCGCAAAGCUGCAGCAGCCAGAGAAGCCAAAACCUGAAUGAAUAGCCGCAGACCCACAGGUGACGGUUAAUCUGACCGAUGGCUGACAUCGGAGACCCUGAAUAAUGGAGCCCUCCAUUUGCAGCUUGCAUGUCCACUUUCCCAAUCUGGCCUUGAUUAGGUUGACAAGUUGGAGGUCAAAGGUUAGCCUGCCACACGCUACCGAGAGAUGCAAGAGCUGGAGUUUGUCUGCAGGAUUUUAGCUGCAGUUGAUUCAAAGACGCUGUUCCAUGUUAAUUACAGCUUUAUAUCACACCACAUAAGAAGGUCGUGUUCAUUUUAUUUUACAUUUUUUAUAUAAUGCCGGAAUUAUAUACACAUGCCUUUACUGUGUAUAUAAUUGAACUGUGUUUAUGUUGUGUAUAAUGUGUAUUUAUAAUAUGUUGUACA